ensembl:lncRNA
GCUGCGGGGCUGGAGAUGGGAGGUGCUGUAGCACCAGGAUUCCCCACGGGGAUGCUCAGCACCAGCCUGGCUGCAGCUGCAGGGCUGGGGCUGCGUCCCCCCUUGUAAUGACAGGAUAAGAAGGGACCGGGUCAGCCAAAGUGCCUGCGCUGGGCAGGGGCUGCCAGCCAAGGGCCGGGUGGGGAGCAGCUGAGCUGCAGCACCGCAACUGCAGCCCUGCAGUGAGAGCAGCGAGCGGGGAGCAGCGCUGAGCCCCAACCCCUGCAGCAGUGAGCGGCUCCUGGCUUAGCGAGGCAAAACGCACAGCUUGGCGAGGAGCAACGCGCACAGAGAGAGCUGGAAGGCAGCACGGGAAGCAGAGCAGGGCAGGGCAGAGCAGCGCUGGUGUCAGCGGCGGCACACAGCUCCCAAUGCCCGCAAGGUGAGUGGCAGCGCCGGGUCAGCCCUCCGGGCAGCUCCCACCUCGCUGUGCCACUGCCGGCACCGGCGAUUCCUUUGGCUUUUUUCUUGUUUCCCAUCGCUGCUUUAAAGAGCUCUGAAGCAAGGACAUGCAAGAAUAGAAAAGGCAACAAGGAUUUUUUUUUCCUUUUUUCUUUUCUUUUUUUUUUUUUUUUUGCAGCUUGCUACAGGGAAAGGGGUGAAGGAGAGGCAGGGACGGGAAAUCAAACUAUGCUGCAGGAUUUGGGGCUGUUCCAACCUAACAAAGCAGCCGGGUGACCCCGAGGAGCAGCAGAAAGCACCCGGAGCCCCUCCGCCACCGCUGCAGCACGCGCUUCCUGCAUCCAUCCAUCCCAAGGCAGCCCGCAGUAACGCAGCAGAAAGACAAGGGUCAUGCUGAGCCGCAUCCUCCUCGCACACAACAGCCGAGCGGCAGCACCGAACAUGCAUGGCUCAGCCGUGCCGCCACGCCACGCCGGAACGGAGAGCCUUAAAAUAAGCACUGGAAAUGUCCUCCUCGCAAACACUUCAGCCUCCUUUUGAAGAGAAACAAAAAAUAAUGCAUGGGAAUAAACACUCUCCUUCCACAGAAGCACAGAACUGAGCAGUUCAACACGCAACUUUGGGAACUUCUCCAAGAUUUAUAUGUUGUGCAUGAAAAGCAAAUGGCUUUUUCCUGCCUGGGAAAAUACUGAAGUGCCACAUUCAGGAGGCCGAACGCGUGCACUGCUGCCUGGUGCUGCACCUCGGAUGGAGCCCCAGGGCUGGGCUGACCCCCCGGCCUCACUCCCUGCCUCACCAGACAGCCGAGCUCUUGGCACCCCUCUGCUUUUUGCAGCAACGCGCUGAGCGAUUUCUCUCUCUAUUUUUUUCCCAUUUCUUUCUAUAUUCUUUAAAUCUUUCUGACCAGUUAGACCAGAACCAUCCCAAUUGCAAAAUCCAGGAAAUCUGCCGCAACGCCCUGCAAUACUUACGAGGCCAUUAGCCAGAAACCUCAAACAAAUAAGUUGUGUUUUCUUUUUUCUGCUACACCAUGCUAACCACCAAGUAUUAACCCAUUGCUCAGGGAACAACAUCUGCAGCAAUCACUUCCUAAUUUAGGAGCAGGGAGAUUUGCUGCAGCAGCUCCUAUCCAUGGCUACAGCACGGCCACUCCGUGGGCACAGCGCACGGCUCCACGGACCCACAGCACUGAAACUGGGAUUACUGGGAUUGGCUUCUGUGAGACCCAAACGGCCUCAGCAAUAAAUCACAGCACGGGGCAGGACAGCUCCUGGGCUGGGAAGAAGAAAGACACCUCUGAGCAGCAAAGCUGCAAACUGGGUUCGGUAUCAAACCUCUGCAUUCACACAGCGUUUUGUUUUGGGUUUUUUUUUUUUUCUUUUUU